CGUGUGCUUACAAGUAGUCAGAGCCCGUUAAUGGGUGAUGGCGUGCCUUUUGUAGAAUGAACCGGCGAGUUACGAUUUGAUGCAAGGUUAAGCAGUAAAUGUGGAGCCGUAGCGAAAGCGAGUCUGAAUAGGGCGUUUAGUAUUUGGUCGUAGACCCGAAACCAGGUGAUCUACCCUUGGUCAGGUUGAAGUUCAGGUAACACUGAAUGGAGGACCGAACCGACUUACGUUGAAAAGUGAGCGGAUGAACUGAGGGUAGCGGAGAAAUUCCAAUCGAACCUGGAGAUAGCUGGUUCUCUCCGAAAUAGCUUUAGGGCUAGCCUCAAGUGAUGAUUAUUGGAGGUAGAGCACUGUUUGGACGAGGGGCCCCUCUCGGGUUACCGAAUUCAGACAAACUCCGAAUGCCAAUUAAUUUAACUUGGGAGUCAGAACAUGGGUGAUAAGGUCCGUGUUCGAAAGGGAAACAGCCCAGACCACCAGCUAAGGUCCCAAAAUAUAUGUUAAGUGGAA
rnacentral:rRNA from 1 species